rnacentral:rRNA from 1 species
CCUACGGGGGGCAGCAGUGGGGAAUAUUGGACAAUGGGGGGAACCCUGAUCCAGCCAUGCCGCGUGUGUGAAGAAGGCCCUCGGGUUGUAAAGCACUUUCAGUGAGGAAGAACGCCUGGUGGUUAAUACCCAUCAGGAAAGACAUCACUCACAGAAGAAGCACCGGCUAACUCCGUGCCAGCAGCCGCGGUAAUACGGAGGGUGCGAGCGUUAAUCGGAAUUACUGGGCGUAAAGCGCGCGUAGGUGGCUUGAUAAGCCGGUUGUGAAAGCCCCGGGCUCAACCUGGGAACGGCAUCCGGAACUGUCAAGCUAGAGUGCAGGAGAGGAAGGUAGAAUUCCCGGUGUAGCGGUGAAAUGCGUAGAGAUCGGGAGGAAUACCAGUGGCGAAGGCGGCCUUCUGGACUGACACUGACACUGAGGUGCGAAAGCGUGGGUAGCAAACAGGAUUAGAUACCACAGUAGUC